AGUUUGAUCCUGGCUCAGGAUGAACGCUAGCUACAGGCUUAACACAUGCAAGUCGAGGGGAAACGACAUCGAAAGCUUGCUUUUGAUGGGUGUCGACCGGCGCACGGGUGAGUAACGCGUAUCCAACCUGCCCACCACUUGGGGAUAACCUUGCGAAAGUAAGACUAAUACCCAAUGACGUCUCUAGAAGACAUCUGAAAGAGAUUAAAGAUUUAUCGGUGAUGAAUGGGGAUGCGUCUGAUUAGCUUGUUGGCGGGGUAACGGCCCACCAAGGCGACGAUCAGUAGGGGUUCUGAGAGGAAGGUCCCCCACAUUGGAACUGAGACACGGUCCAAACUCCUACGGGAGGCAGCAGUGAGGAAUAUUGGUCAAUGGACGAGAGUCUGAACCAGCCAAGUAGCGUGCAGGAAGACGGCCCUAUGGGUUGUAAACUGCUUUUAUAAGGGAAUAAAGUGAGUCUCGUGAGACUUUUUGCAUGUACCUUAUGAAUAAGGACCGGCUAAUUCCGUGCCAGCAGCCGCGGUAAUACGGAAGGUCCGGGCGUUAUCCGGAUUUAUUGGGUUUAAAGGGAGCGUAGGCCGGAGAUUAAGCGUGUUGUGAAAUGUAGACGCUCAACGUCUGCACUGCAGCGCGAACUGGUUUCCUUGAGUACGCACAAAGUGGGCGGAAUUCGUGGUGUAGCGGUGAAAUGCUUAGAUAUCACGAAGAACUCCGAUUGCGAAGGCAGCUCACUGGACUGCAACUGACACUGAUGCUCGAAAGUGUGGGUAUCAAACAGGAUUAGAUACCCUGGUAGUCCACACAGUAAACGAUGAAUACUCGCUGUUUGCGAUAUACAGUAAGCGGCCAAGCGAAAGCAUUAAGUAUUCCACCUGGGGAGUACGCCGGCAACGGUGAAACUCAAAGGAAUUGACGGGGGCCCGCACAAGCGGAGGAACAUGUGGUUUAAUUCGAUGAUACGCGAGGAACCUUACCCGGGCUUAAAUUGCAUUUGAAUAUAUUGGGAAAAGUAUAGCCGUAAGGC
rnacentral:rRNA from 1 species